AAACCACUUUGUUAGUUUUUUUCCUUUUCCAAAUCUAAGUUUUUUAUUUAGUUCAAAUUUUAAAAGCAUCAAGUUAGGUAAGAGUAUGAAACCAAUGAUUAUAACUUCAAGUUGUUCUUAUUGUAUACAGAGAAUCCUAUGUGUUCAGUUCUCGAUCCUUGAUUAUUUGCAUCUAUCCAAAUAUUGUAGACACCUCCUUUUUCAUAUCUUUGUUGCUAACCCAUCCAAGGUACCGUUUCUAUCUAAAUAUAGAUGGCACGACACGUCAAUAUAUAAGAAUAGCUGAAGUAUAGCUACAUUAUCCAAUUGAUUUAUUUCUUGGGUCUACGGUCGAGUUCAGACGAAUAAGAUCGACGACAAAGCACGUGAAGAAUACGAGAGGCGAGAUAACGGUGAUUAGUUGUACAACGGCGGAAUCCAGCGACCAUGGUGUUUUCAAUGCUGUCGUCCCCUUAGUCUCUAUCACUUUACUGAAAUCCACCAUAUUCUCAACUAAGAUGCCCACCAUUGAGUGCAAUCGACUUCGAUAAUGAGGUCAAAAAAGAGGGAGAUCCAUAUGUGAUAGAUGGUAUAAGUAAGACUAAAGAGGGAUAUAACUCUGCAACGUGGAUGUUAGAAGCCAGUAUUACAGAACAAGUACUCUCUCGGAGUUGAUUUCGCAGAAAUCUACAAGAACUCUGAGCUUUAAAGUAAAACCACAUUGAUUCGACUGGGUGGACGUGGAUUCCUCCUUUUCCAUGCCCAUUAUAUGCCUUUCCUUCUACCAUUAAUUGGUCAUCACCCUUUCUCCUUUUGCACUUUCCGUAAUUGCAGUACCUCCAUAAUUGCAGGUAGUCGAUACUAUUCAAGGCUAGGCAAGAAACCAAAUUGAGAUGGGAGUCACACGUGAUUUUGCAGGAUGCAUCACUCUUGGACCAUGGGGUAGUCAAAUGGGAUAUAAAUGGGUUUAUAUGCAAUGAGGCUCUAUUUUAAAGAUAAAGAUACAGGUUUGUCACAGAUCUGCUGUUAACGCCAUUGAAUUUCAUAUCUAAUGCAGAGAAGGUGAAGGUCAGAAAUCUGUUUUUGGUACUCCGGGUAUCAAGUCAUCAGACUUUGUAAGUUUGUAACCAAUAUCAAUCGAAUACUGAUUGAUAUCAUUGCACAUCUGUUUUGCAUCUUAUCAGAGUUUUGUUUCCAACUAUGCAGAUUUGCAUUGACGGUACUAAUGAAUAUUUGAUUUUAAUAAGCGGGACUACUGGGAGUAGUAGUCUGUUUGGUGGCGUUGAAAAUGAAGUAGUUAAAUCUAUAUGCUUUAUGACAAAUUUGAACGUUUAUGGACCCUAUGGUAAUAGUAAUAAUGGCACUGCCUUCUCACAUGAUGUGAAAGACAGGGUGGUUGUAGGAUUUCAUGGGUGUGCUAGCAGCUACCUCAAUGCUAUUGGGGUUUAUGUGAUGCCCAAAUCACAUGCAUCAGGUCCAAACUCUACGAAGGAAGACAAAAUAAUGUCUGAGGCUCAAUUUUUUUGUUGCUAUUCAUUUUUUUUUCUGUAAUUUUUGGUUUUGGUUUCUAAUACAGCAGGCCUUUUCUUAAAAAAGAAUUACUGCUUACAUGACACUCUUUUGUUAAAAGUUUUAGUUUUGUUGACUUUAAUAAAUUUAAACUAAUACCUCUCU